rnacentral:rRNA from 1 species
GCCCUUAGAGUUUGAUCCUGGCUCAGGAUGAACGCUGGCGGCGUGCUUAACACAUGCAAGUCGAACGGGAUCCAUCAAGCUUGCUUGGUGGUGAGAGUGGCGAACGGGUGAGUAAUGCGUGACCGACCUGCCCCAUACACCGGAAUAGCUCCUGGAAACGGGUGGUAAUGCCGGAUGCUCCAGUUGAUCGCAUGGUCUUCUGGGAAAGCUUUCGCGGUAUGGGAUGGGGUCGCGUCCUAUCAGCUUGACGGCGGGGUAACGGCCCACCGUGGCUUCGACGGGUAGCCGGCCUGAGAGGGCGACCGGCCACAUUGGGACUGAGAUACGGCCCAGACUCCUACGGGAGGCAGCAGUGGGGAAUAUUGCACAAUGGGCGCAAGCCUGAUGCAGCGACGCCGCGUGAGGGAUGGAGGCCUUCGGGUUGUAAACCUCUUUUAUCGGGGAGCAAGCGAGAGUGAGUUACCCGUGAAUAAGCACCGGCUAUU